GCCCAGCACGAUGGCCCCGGCAGCAGGGGGUCCCUCUUUGUGCUCGUCCACUCUGACCCCCCGUGCCACUCUCCGCCUGUGGGAACCGGACAAGAAGAAUGUCGGGGUGGGGCCGGGGGCCACCAGCCCCGGCCGGCCCGGCCAGCGCCCCCCAGCACAUUCUUUGCCUGCAAAUAUUCUGACAUCACCCCGGCACAGCUCCUCGCCGGCUCCUUCGUUAACUCCUUUAUGCCUUGCCGCCGGCAGACAAUGGUCCUGCUGCAGGCUGCAGGAGGAGGAGGGGAGGGACGCAUCUUUCCCAGGACAACUUUUCCAUGAGCCGUGGACCUAAGGCAAGCGUGGAUUUUAAGGCCGGGAGAUUCUCCUGAGAUUCACAAGGAAAUUCUUGAUCCAGUCUUGGAGAAGAGGGUAUUUAUUUCUGGAGGAAGGAUGGGAUUAAAAGAAGAUUAAAAUGAUCAACCAUCUCCAGCAUUUCACUAUCAAUCCAGUUCUUGAUCUUCAUGAAGAAUGUAGCCUUGAAAAAAAUAUUUGCCAAAAAUAUAGAAAGCCAAAAUUUUAAUUAUUAUGUCUCUGCCUGUUUCUAAUACUGUUCACUUAGAAAACAACAUAAUGAAACGUUUCAUUACCCCUUACUAGCUGCUGAGAAAAUUCUGGAGUUACAUUGAAACAUCAAGCUUUCAAAUGACUGCAACUUCUAUCAAAUACUUCUAAAGACAACAAAAAAUGUCUCCAUUAGAAAUACAAAAACAUUUUGUGACCAAUACUCUCCCAGGAAGGUUUAUUAUAGUUCUAAAGUCAAUUCCAGCUAGUUGGGGGUUUUUUUCAGAUAUCAACUAAACCGUAUUGUGAGAAAAGUAUAAAGAAUUUUUUUUUUCCUUAGAUUUUUAUUUUAAUCACCUAAAAAUCAUUCUUAUGGAAAUGAGAAAGACAAAAAGAUUCCCCAGGGACUGAGAAACUUCACUGAUUUGCAUCAUUAACACUGAAAAGAACUUGCCUGGAAAUGGCCCCUUCACGUUUUCUUUUAUUUACAUUUCCAGACAAAUACAAAAUUAAUUUCAACAAGAAGGUUUCUUGUAGAUUCCUAUCCCAUUUUGAUUAGUCUAGCCAUUAAAACAUGAAUAUAGCUUGCUGUGCUUUGAUUUAGUCUUUGUUACACCGCAAUUCUUAAAUUUUUAAAAAUUUUUUAUUUUUUUAGUUUUUACUUCAUUUAUAAAGGGUUUGCAACAUGGGGGCUCUGAGUGAUCAUUGACUGUAUUAACAUUCAUAAUUAACACCAGUAAUUAUUAAGACGCUUUUGGAACAAUUACCAUUUGUGGCAUGGAAUGAGAGAAAAGUGACAUUCAUUUAACAAAACUCUAGUUUCCAUUUAACAAGUCUGUCCAAGCAUAAGCAAAAAUGAAAAAAAAACCCAAAUCUGAGCACACUAAAUAUAUAUUUAAAUGCAGAUAAAUUUCUAUGAUAAAGUAGUUCUUUCAAGGCUCAGAUCAAAAUUUUAAACAGUUUACCUUCUUUGUGUCUUCUGAAGAGUUUUACGUAACAAACUUUCAGUGUCAUCACUAAUAGCAGUUCAUGCCAAGGAUUACUUUCUUAAAACUGCUACUCAAGCCCGGUGAUUUGCAGUACACUUCUUAUUACAGGAUACAUUAUGCAGAAACCCUCUGCUAUGUGAUGGGACAUGGCAACCCUGCUGUGAGAAUGCCUAUCAGCGCUUCUUUUAAGGCCCUUUCUCAAUUGUCAGCAAAGUAUUUUUUAAGGUUAAAAGGUGUAAAAUUAUUCUGAAACGCUUUUCUGACCUGUCGCCUAUCACUGCAAAAAGCUAUAGUUCAUUUUUUUUCUAAAAUUGUAUUUUUAAAAUGUGAUAUUAUAAGAAUAAAGCUAGUAAGAAAAAUAU